AAUUAGCCCAUCUGUUUCUUUGAUUUUUUUGGCUUUCUUGUGUCUUCUGCAACCAUGGAUGGAAUGCUAAAACUUGUGUUAUCUCUCUCCAUUUUCAUGUCUAUGGUUCUCUCUUCAUCUGCUCAAAAAUGCUCUAGCUAUGCCUUCUCUAGCAACCAAGUCUUUAGUGCAUGCAAUGAUCUUCCUUAUUUGAACUCAUUUCUGCAUUGGAAUUAUAAUUCAUCAUCAAGCAAGCUUCAGAUUGCAUAUAGGCACUCAGGAAUCAGUUCCUCUAGAUGGAUUGCUUGGGCUAUAAAUCCUACUUCAACUGGGAUGGUGGGUUCACAAUCACUUGUUGCAUUCCAACAAUCUGAUGGAACCAUGAAAGCUUAUACUUCCCCUAUCAGCAGCUACCAGACUUCACUUCAAGAGGGGAAGCUUAGCUUUGAAGUCUCAAAUUUAUCUGCUACGUAUUCUAACAAUGAGAUGAUCAUAUUUGCCACCUUGGGAAUUUCAAGCAUUGGCACUACCACUGUGAACCAGGUUUGGCAAGAGGGUCCAGUUUCUAGUGACUCUCCUCAGGUGCAUUCCACUACUGGGGCUAAUGUUCAAUCCAUGGGGACUGUUAACCUUCUUUCUGGGACGGUUGGGGCUAGUGGAGGAAAUGACAAAACCAGGAAGAGGAAUAUUCAUGGAGUGCUAAAUGCAGUGAGUUGGGGCAUCUUGAUGCCUACUGGAGCUCUAAUAGCAAGGUACUUGAAGGUAUUCAAAUCUGCAGACCCAGCAUGGUUUUACCUACAUGUUAGUUGCCAAUCCAUAGCCUAUAUUAUUGGUGUUGCUGGAUGGGGUACUGGUCUCAAACUUGGCAGCCAGUCAUCUGGUGUUCAAUAUGAUGCCCAUAGAACAAUUGGAAUAAUCCUUUUCUGCCUUGGUACCCUUCAGGUGUUUGCUUUGCUUCUAAGGCCAAAACCAGAUCACAAGUACAGGUUCUACUGGAACAUCUACCAUCGUACAGUUGGAUAUAAUGUUAUUAUUCUUAGCAUCAUUAACAUAUUCAAAGGAUUUGAGAUCUUGAGCCCUUUAAAGAAGUGGAAGAACGCUUACAUUGGUGUGAUCGCAGCUUUGGCCUUCACUGCUGUAUGGUUGGAAGGCUAUACAUGGUAUCUAAUGAUGAAGAGGAGAAGAUUAGAUAGUGCUGGAAAGAUGCCUCAGGGCAUCAUUGCAUCAAAUGGGGUCAAUGGAUACAGCGAUAUGCGGAACCAGGGGAUCUGAUAUUUGAACAUAGGCUGUGGUUUCUGGUUGCUCUGUUAUAUUUGGGUUUUUCAGGUAUGUUUUGGAUCUCAUGUAUAUUUAUGAAUACCAUUUGGGAAAACUCUAUGGACAGCGGAAGGUUAGGAUUAGAAGUGACUCUUCUUAUAUUCUGAAAUCGCUUGAUCCCUGUUUGAUUAUGCACUCUACAACACCAGUGUCUAUAGUUUAAUCAAGAAUGUCUAUAAUUCAAUAGCAAUGAAUACUCACCACUUUUAAAUGUGAGUGCAUUCAUGAGCUAUUGAAGAACAAUUGCAUAAGGUGCAAAUGUCAUAUUAAAGAAUUAUGACAGUCCAGUAAUCGAGUGUAUAUCUCAUAUUGCUGGGAGGCGGAGCUUCAAAACUUUACAUUCCCUUUAAAAAUCUUCAAUGUAACAAGUUAAAAAACACAUUUAAGACCCCUUUGUUUUAUUUCAAGUACAACAGACUGUUUUUUUUUUACCAACUUUGAUUCUACAAAUAAUUUGGCAUUGCUAAAAUGGCACAAGCCAUUUGGCAGAAUCAUUACAAAUAUCAGCUAGCUGCCCUUCUAAACUAUCAUAAUAAAAACCAACGAGGACACCGCUAGAAGUUGUUUAGAAGACUGAGAACUGAAUUAUUAAACAGCAACUAAUUUGUAAUUUUUAUAAAAAAAUGGUUGCCUUCUCAUUCUGAUUGCUGCAGAGCCUCAACAAAUGCAUCCUUCAGGAGAGGGUUUGAAGCUGCCACUCUCUGAGAUGUGAUGUCAAAAUCUUUACCAGAUGGGUCAUAAACAAGUCCUCCAGCUUCUUUGACAAUCACGGCACCACCUGCUACAUCCCAUGGACCCCCAAAUCCAGUUUCAUAAAAUAAAUCAAGUCUUCCGCAUGCAAUUCCACAUAGAUUCAGUGCGCAGGAACCACUCAUCCUAAGGGAUCUCACCUUGAAAAGCAAGCUAUUAAUUCUGUUUGUAGUGGCAUCCACGGUAGCCUUAUCACGUUUUGUUCCAACCUCUGUUGCAAGAAGAGACUUCACAAGCUCCGUUUGUGAUGAUACUUUUAUAGGGUUGCCAUUAAGAAAAGCACCUUUUCCAAGGACGCCAGUAAAAAGCUCAUUUAAAAUUGGGUUGUAAACAACACCUACAGUAGGAACCUUUCCAAUUGUAAGACCAAUAGAAAUGCAGACAAGGGGAAACCCAUGCACGAAGUUGGUUGUUCCAUCAAGAGGAUCAACUAUCCACGUGGGUUCAUCAGUCAGCUCUGUAAUACCAUAGGCAGCAGUAGUUUCUUCCCCAAUUAACUAAGAAAAAAACCAGUAAACAAAUAGUACUCUGAGGAGAAAACACACUCCACAAUGGGCAAAAAAUCUAGAACUUCAUUAACGAGAUGGACAAAAAGGGAACUAUAGGAGUCAACCUUAUGUGUAGGGUAACAGUGUCUGAGAUGAUUAAAAAUGAGAUCUUCACAAGCCUUAUCAGUUUCUGUGACUAAAUCAACCUGGCCUUUGUGCUCGACAUGCUUGGUCUGGUAAAAUCCCUUGCAGAUAAUCUCGCCAGCUCUCUUGGCUGCUUCAACAGCAGUUUCCAGGAAUUCAGAGAGUGAACCAUUUUCGGCCAUUGUGAGAAGAAGUGGAUUAGUGGGUGAUGAAGAUGAUGAAAUGUGAAACGGUUUCUUCGAGUUUGAGAGGAGCCUUAGCGUCAAAGCACUCGCAGAAACAAAAUGGAGGCUUUGUUCGGCUUAUAUACAUAGACACUGUCUGCAACUGCGAGUUACGGAUUACGUCAGAGUUACUUCACGCAUCAAAUUCCAGGGGAAGAAAUAG
rnacentral:misc_RNA from 1 species